GGUUUUAGUUUGAUCGAAGAAGAUGGGUAGACUUUUUGUUAUCACUCUUGAAGGAAACUUCUACAGUUGCAAGUACUGUAAAACUCAUUUGGUUCUUGCUGAUCACAUUAUUUCUAAGGCAUUUCAGUGCAAGCAUGGGAGGGCUUACCUCUUUGAUAAAGUUGUGAAUGUUACUCUUGGAGAGAAAGAAGAGCGGAUGAUGAUAACUGGAAUGCACACUGUUGUUGA
rnacentral:misc_RNA from 1 species